rnacentral:misc_RNA from 1 species
UCCGGUUUGGCACCGGCAGUCCUCCCAGAGUCCCCGCCAUGACGCGCUGGCAACUGGGAGCGGGGGUUGCGCUCGUUGCGAGACUUAACCCAACAUCUCACGACACGAGCUGACGACAGCCAUGCAGCACCUCUACCAGCUCCCUUGCGGGUCGUUCCCCUUUCAGGGUCCUACCACUGGCAGUUCAAGCCUAGGUAAGGUUCUUCGCGUUGCAUCGAAUCAAACCACAUGCUCCACCGCUUGUGCAGGCCCCCGUCAAUUCCUUUGAGUUUUAAUCUUGCGACCGUACUCCCCAGGCGGAAUGCUUAAUGCGUUAGCUGCGACACUGACGAGCAUGCUCGCCAACGUCUAGCAUUCAUCGUUUACGGCGUGGACUAC